UACGUAGGUGGCGAGCGUUAUCCGGAAUCAUUGGGCGUAAAGAGGGAGCAGGCGGCCGCAAGGGUCUGUGGUGAAAGACCGAAGCUAAACUUCGGUAAGCCAUGGAAACCGGGCGGCUAGAGUGCGGAAGAGGAUCGUGGAAUCCCAUGUGUAGCGGUGAAAUGCGUAGAUAUAUGGAGGAACACCAGUGGCGAAGGCGACGGUCUGGGCCGCAACUGACGCUCAUUCCCGAAAGCGUGGGGAGCAAAUAGG
rnacentral:rRNA from 1 species